UAUCAUCAUCACAUAUCAGUUAUCAUCAAACAAGUCUUGAUUCCCAACCUUUUAUAUUUUGGUGUUGACAAAAAGUUCCUCAGUUGCAAACUCUUUUUGGUUUCACACCAUUUUGACUUCAUUAUAUAAAGAUCAUUUGUGUAGCUAUUAUCACAACCAUAUUGUUAGACACCUCUAAUUUCAUCUACUGUUUUUUAGAGAUUUCUUCUUAUUUGGCUUGAUUUUCUUCUGCAACCUUAUCUACUGCAAAGCUCUGAUUGCUGCAUCUAACUUCCCUGCCAAAGUUUUCCCUGUUUGAAACUCUGAACUUCUCUGUUUAUCUGAGCUCUGUUUUUAACUGAUCUUUGAUCAAGGAUGGCCAUAAACGCAAUUGAGUUGUUGAAAGGAAGCACAAGCCAAGAAGAAAUAGUGGAAGUUCUUGCAGCAGUGGCUGCAGAUUUGGGGGAUGUAAUAGAUGAUCUAAACUCUUUGCAGGUAAAACCUCUUAAGGGGGCAAUGACCAAUGAGGUUUUUGAGGUAAAUUGGCCAACAAAAAGUGAUGGUCAUCAGAGAAGGGUUCUUGUUCGAUUAUAUGGUGAAGGUGUUGAGGUUUUCUUCAACAGGGUGGACGAAAUCCAAACCUUUGAGUGCAUGUCUAAGCAUGGACAGGGUCCACGCCUUCUUGGAAGGUUCACCACUGGCAGAGUUGAGGAGUUCAUUCAUGCCAGAACUCUCUCAGCUGCGGACCUCCGUGACCCUGAAAUAUCUGCAUUGAUUGCAUCUAAGAUGAGGGAGUUUCACAAUCUUCACAUGCCUGGUGCAAAGAAGGCUCAGCUUUGGCAAAGAAUGAGGAAGUGGCUUAGUCAUGCCAAAAAUUUGUGCUCCCCAAAAGAUGCCAAGAAUUUUUGCCUGGACAAUCUAGAUGCUGAAAUAAAUACGCUUGCAGAGUCGUUAUCUGAAGGUUAUCAAGAGAUUGGUUUCUGUCACAAUGACCUACAAUAUGGUAACAUAAUGAUAGAUGAAGAUACAAGAGCAAUCACUUUAAUUGACUAUGAAUAUUCCGGUUACAAUCCUAUUGCAUAUGAUCUGGCAAAUCAUUUCUGUGAAAUGGUGGCAAAUUACCAUACUGAUGAACCACAUGUUCUUGACUACAGCAAAUAUCCUGGUCUGGAAGAGCGACAAAGGUUUGUUUAUAAUUAUUUGAGUUCUGAAGAUGUGGAGCUUGCAUUGCAUGCAUUUGUUUAACAUAUUCGUAGGCACGAUGCAAACCUCCCCUUAUCUCUUCAACUUCUAUGUUAAUGUAAUUCUAACAGUUGUUUUACUGACCAAAGAUAACUCUCAUGAAAGCUUUCAAAAUCAAGUUACAAAAGCUCAAGUCAUAUUUUCAAAGAUGAUUCUUCUGAAUUUGAUACAUGUUUACUAAUUUUAAUUGGGAUGUGCACAGGUAAGAAACCAAGCAACACAGAAGUGGAAGAAUUAGUCAAUCUUGCAGAUAAAUACACUCUCGCAAACCAUCUAUUUUGGGGCUUGUGGGGACUUAUUUCGAGUUAUGUCAAUUCAAUUGACUUUGACUACAAGGAGUAUGCAAGGCAGAGGUUUCAGCAAUACUGGCUUAAGAAGCCUACUUUAUUGGACUCACCAAGUAUCAUUUCCCAAGAUGCAAUUGUCAAUGGUUCACACCAUUGACUUGAUUGCUUCUUAUGUAUUUAGUAUACGUACACUUUGAUAUGUAUUGAUUAAUAAUGUAGAAAUGCAUGAUAUGAUGCAUAAAAUCUGUAAAUAACUAAAUACGUGUGAUGGAUUUUGUCAAUUUUUACUAUAAUUAUGUUGGUAAUCGCUCCUCCUUGUUGGAUUUAGUUGAGGAAUGAAGGUGUGAAUUACUAGUUGUGUCUUGUCA